ACGGAGGGGGCAAGCGUUGUUCGGAAUCAUUGGGCGUAAAGAGUAUGUAGGCGGCUAUUUAAGUCAGACGUGUAAGCCCACGGCUCAACCGUGGAAUUGCGUUUGAAACUAUUUAGCUUGAGUGCAGGAGAGGAAGGCGGAAUUCCCAGUGUAGCGGUGAAAUGCAUUGAUAUUGGGAAGAACACCGGUGGCGAAGGCGGCCUUCUGGUCUGACACUGACGCUGAGAUACGAAAGCCAGGGGAGCGAACGGG
rnacentral:rRNA from 1 species